AUUGUCUUCAGUCUAAGCAUACAAGUUGCAUUGUAUUUAAAUAAUAUUACAAUAUUUCAAAACUAUGAAAUAUGGUUAAUUAAAUCCAACAUAACCCGUUCAAUUUAAAAUAAAUGAAGGUUUAAUCUGAAGAAGUUUGUCCCAUCAGGCUUGUCGUACUAUAGACUUUACACAUGCGCAGUCUGGAGAAUUAUUUUCCCCGCCCUUUUUCAAUCACUGGAUGAACGACGGCGGUUGGUUUUCUGCUGAAGUAAAUAUCAACUAUUUCGUCACCCACGGACAAUUCGAAUUCCAGCAUUGAUGUGAAGAGGGAAUGCAUCUUAAAAGCACUUUGCGUCUACUUUAAUGAAAACCCAAACGACAUCAUCAGAGAAUAUGUGGACGUUGAUCUUGCAGCUGGACAAACCA